rnacentral:miRNA from 1 species
GAUGAUGUUAGACUACAACUCCCACCUUCCCUAGGUCAGAGCUCAGGGAUGAUGGGAGUUGUAGUCCAACAACAUC